rnacentral:rRNA from 1 species
GAUGAACGCUGGCGGCGUGCCUAAUACAUGCAAGUCGAGCGAACAGACGAGGAGCUUGCUCCUCUGACGUUAGCGGCGCACGGGUGAGUAACACGUGGAUAACCUACCUAUAAGACUGGGAUCACUUCGGGAAACCGGAGCUAAUACCGGAUAAUAUAUUGAACCGCAUGGUUCAAUAGUGAAAGACGGUUUUGCUGUCACUUAUAGAUGGAUCCGCGCCGCAUUAGCUAGUUGGUAAGGUAACGGCUUACCAAGGCAACGAUGCGUAGCAGACGUGAGAGGGUGAUCGGCCACACUGGAACGGGGACACGGUCCAGACUCCUGCGGGAGGCAGCAGAAGGGAAUCUUCGGCAAUAGGCGGAAGCCUGACGGAGCGACGCCACGUGAGUGAUGAAGGUCUUCGGAUCGUAAAACUCUGUUAUUAGGGAAGAACAAAUGUGUAAGUAAAUAUGCACGUCUUGACGGUAACUAAUCAGAAAGCCACGGCUAACUACGUG